GGCGUAAUGGUAUAGUGGUAAGGCUUAGGGCUCGUGACCCAAAGAUUGCUGGUUCAGUUCCGAAAUGGGGCA